GUAACCCGGAAGACACUCGCACGUGUAAGAGCCGUUCACGUUCACGCAUUUAGUGUUUGCGUUACAAUGAUGCCCCUCGGAGCCACCUUGCUGUUUGCAUUCAUCUAUGUCUGUGACGUUAACGGUCGACCGACGGAAAUAUCACGAUCGCCAUCUCAGUGGAUUUAAUUGAAUUAAAGGCUAUUAAAUAUCGACGCAAAGAAAAAAAGAGAAGAAAAGACACACACAUAAAAAGAGAGAGAGCAAAGUUAGAGAAGCAUUAGAUACCGUGACAGUUAUGACCGUCCCCCUGGAAACCGAUAUCGCAAUGGCAGGCGUACGUUGUCUGCAGAUUCAGGCAGGACGCAUUAGCAUGACACUUGUGGCCCUUCGCACAGUAGUCCACCCCUGGUUAAAUUGGGUUAGCCAGGAAAAUGCAGAGAUGAUAUUGCUUGUCUGCCAUGCCAUUUAGGAUACGAAUAUUAUAUUAUAGCGGAAAAGAAGGAAAUUUCGCCUAGGGAUUUUUUAAUGUUACAGGCGCACAGGGUGUCGGCCUGCACUCAAUCUCCCCAUGAACGCAGGAACACUGUUGACAACCCUUUUCCCAGGUCGCACCAUCCUCGUGAACGGUGCCAUUUGCCCUGCACGACUUUUGGCACUCGCACUCCUCCACUUUGCUUAUCCUGCCCUCUGCAGCGGCUAGCUAAAAGGAAGGAUGGGAAUGAGAGAAAACCAAAGUUAUCCAAUUACUUUUUCUUUUUUUUAUAAUGAUUAAAAACUUGAUCAAAAUCGUCAAAAGUAAAUCAGAACCUGGUGAAGAGAUGUACUCACCCUACGCGUGAGCUCGUUCAGAUUAUGCAUCAGCUGUUCCACCGUGUUUUGUAAUAUAGAAAAUUGACCGCAAGUGGGACAAGACGAAUCGAGUUGGGGACAUUGGGAAAGGUAGCCAUGGGGGCCUGGUAUCAGCUUCACAUCCUGCAAAGCACCCUGUGGCGCGAAAAUCGUACGAACUUAUCUCAGUUGAUUAAAAUUUUCAAACUCUUAGAAAGAUUAUAAUCGCGUUUCAUUUUUCUUUUUUUUUUUUUUUUUUAUACGAUCAUUAAUAUUUUGCUAAAAAGAGAAAUAGAUAAAGAAAGAUUAAGAAGAGGAGAUCGUACCUUAAAGAGAAAGUGCCUGACAUUUCUCUGGCCAACCCAGAGUUGCAAUUGUGGCAAAGUGAAAUUGGUGUCAGGUGGUCCAGGCCUAAGUAACCGCCUGUAUAAAGGAUGACAGUCGACGAGCAGCUCGACCUGCGAGCCGCUUACACUCAGGGCGACCCUGUGCCAAGCGCCGUCGGCCAGACGAAAAGGGAACGCCUCCACGUGGACACUACCGUCCCGGCGUGAUACAUAAUGCAGUCGAAGUUCGUCUUUACGGCCGCUGCUCUGCAGCUCCAAAUAUCUGAAUACAUUGAAAAAAAAUUUUUCUAAAUUAAUAAUUUCACAAGUUUCCAAUUAUUUAUGAAAUUAUUAAAUUGUCGUUAAUUAAAUUCGAAAUAAUUUUUCAGUAAAAAUAUCGUAUUUCGUUUAGGUUAUUCGUCAGAUUAAUAUCUCUUGCUAUUUCAUUUUUGAUAAAUUAAUAUAAAUUUUCUAGAAAUAUUUAUUCAUUUUUUAUCUAUUGUUACUACUUUGUGUUCCAAUUUUCUGUCUUGGAUUACGUUUUUAUUAAACAGAGGUGUAACUUGGUUGAACUUGAAUAAGAUUAUAAGAUUAUAUAUCAUCAGAAAUUUACUAGAAUCUGGUUAAUCUGGUAUGAAAUUGUUUAGCAAUUUAAUGGAGCAAGUUCAAUAAAGCAACGUGAUAUACAACCGUGUAUCGAUUAAAACCAUUUUAGCUUGUUAAUUGAAACAUAUACACAGAAUUAAAUAGAUUACGCGAUUGAGAAGGAAAUUGAUGGCGUAUGUACGUAUCGCAACUUCCGUUUUACCAUCUAUCACACGUCUCUAAUACAUCGAGAUUAAAAGCCUGAAAAUAAUAAAUGCAAUCGAUAUUCCAAUUCUAAUAAAUAUCGCCUUUAUCCCCCA